GCGGGCGUGGCGGAAUUGGUAGACGCAGGGGACUCAAAAUCCCCCGGGCGCAAGCCCUUGUCGGUUCGAGUCCGACCGCCCGUACCA
rnacentral:tRNA from 2 species